CGCAGAUUUUCUUCUGCCGCUGCCAUUCCUAAGAUGGGGAGACCCAUCUCUCCUCUUCCUCUUCAGCCUCCACGAUGUGAAAACAAGGAUGAAAGCCUUUUAUUGAGAUCGCUGCCGUGCGAGGCCUAGGUCUGUUUUCUCCUCAUGAUCAACUUAGUAGUUUUGCUUUUCUAGCUUGCCUUACCCUAACGGUGAGAGUACAACACGCAUAACAUACAAAAUGUCUGUGACUGGCUUUAUGUGAUCGGGAGGCUCUGGUCAACAGGAGGCUGUUACUUAAGCUUAGGGAAGUUAAAUGUUAUAUACAAAUUUUCAACUGCACAGGAGAUUGGUGCCUUCAACUCCUGUGUCGUUCAAGGGCUUGCUGUAAUUUGUAUUAAAACAUCAAGCCCCUUCCACCUGCGUGACUCUCUCUGCCUCAACAGACAACGUUACUCUCCACACACUCUCAGAGAGAAACA